GUGAAUCAUCGAAUCUUUGAACGCAAAUUGCACUCUCUGCGGAGAGUAUGCGUGUUUGUGGGUGAGCGUAAAAAAAAUCGACAUAGUUUCUGUUUCGUGGUGACAUUCGUCGGAAAUUGGGUCAUCUUAAACCUUUGGGUGGUAAGGGGCUUAAAAUUUUUUUUUGGAUUCCACAAACGUUUCUAAGAUUUUACUUCUUACACUGUUAAGGUGACGAUCUUUAUUAGACGUGGCCGUGGCAUCGGUUCACGUCCAUAAAUAUUUCU
rnacentral:misc_RNA from 1 species